UCCGUCGUGGUGUAGUGGCUAGCAUUUGAGACUCUCAUAUUCAGAUAUUUGAGUUGAGGACUCUCAGAACCCGGGUUCAAUUCCCGGCGACGGAA